UACGAAGGGGGCUAGCGUUGUUCGGAAUUACUGGGCGUAAAGCGCACGUAGGCGGAUACUUAAGUCAGGGGUGAAAUCCCGGGGCUCAACCCCGGAACUGCCUUUGAUACUGGGUAUCUCGAGUCCGGAAGAGGUGAGUGGAAUUCCGAGUGUAGAGGUGAAAUUCGUAGAUAUUGGGAAGAACACCGGUGGCGAAGGCGGCUCACUGGCUCAUUUCUGACGCUCAGGCGCGACAGCGUGGGGAUCAAACAGG
rnacentral:rRNA from 1 species